rnacentral:lncRNA from 1 species
AAGCAAGCUGGGGCCCCACCCCUGUCUGGCCCAGAAGCACUGCUCUCCUGAGUCUCUGUCCCUAUCUGGAGCCCUGCCCUAGACUGACCUGCCUUUCUGCAGCGGACACACGUGAAUUCAUGAAGACCGGGAAGGGCUCCUAAUAUUUCCAUCUGAAGCGGUAUCUCUGAAAUUUCAUAGACAUGUGGUCACGCACACAUCUUUCCAAGGUCUCAGAAGCACAACGGCUAUUCACAGCUCCUCUGAGAACAGAGAAGGGGCUUGCAGGUAGGUACAUCUGGCACAGGAGGGUCAAGGUGGCCAGCACGCACAUGGAGAUGCACAGCUAACACUGGGGAAAAGAAGACUGGAAUAAUUCUCUGAGCCUUCUCCUUAGAGGCAGCAGUCAAAGCAAUGGGAGUGCAUGCAAUUGACGAGAAAAAAUAAUGAAGAACCAGAGAGGAGGAAAGGAAAGGGGAUAAAGGAAUCAUCUUGUAGAAAACCCACAGCUAAGGGUCAAGAAGGAGAAGGUUAAGCAGGGGAGUGAUCAAGUCGUAGCUGGCUUGCUAACGUUCCAAAUGACCUCCAGCUUGCUUAUCUCUAUUUUUCUGGACAUUAUGAUGCCCCAGUAACAGAAUACUGUUGCUGAGAAAGAUCUUUUACAAAAUCUCUGCUGUACAACUAGAGCUGUUCAUUUUAGG